UACGUAGGGGGCAAGCGUUAUCCGGAAUCAUUGGGCGUAAAGGGUGCGUAGGCGGUCAAUAAAGUCAAGGGUGAAAGGCUACGGCUUAACCGUAGUAAGCCUAUGAAACUUAAUGACUUGAGUGCAGGAGAGGUAAGUGGAAUUCCUAGUGUAGCGGUGAAAUGCGUAGAUAUUAGGAGGAACACCAGUGGCGAAGGCGACUUACUGGACUGUAACUGACGCUGAGGCACGAAAAGCGUGGGGGAGCAAACAGGG
rnacentral:rRNA from 1 species